rnacentral:misc_RNA from 1 species
GUAUGAUUUAUGGACCGCCAGCCUGUCGAAACAGGUCGACGUUCUCGAUUACAUUCUGUAGACAUACGACGGGUGUGAUGUGAAAAAACAUAGAUCCUCUUUCGAGGACCUACAAUGGGUGCACAGGUGUGUGUGAUGAGAGAAAGAGGAAGGUCAGCGAAAAGGAAGACGUGCACAUGCCCCGAGGGGCCAGCGACAGUCUUCGCUUUCCAUCUUUCCCUCCCCCUCCCCUCAGAAAUUCGAUAAUGAUCCUUCCGCAGGUUCACCUACGGAAA